rnacentral:sRNA from 1 species
CUGUUUGAACUUGUUCAGGAUUAAUAAAAUGAACAUGUGUAUCAAUCGCUCCAGCAGUAACAAUUAGUCCUUCACCAGCAAUAAUCUCUGUUGAAGCACCAAUGAUAAUAUCCACAUUAUCAGUAAUUAGCGGAUUACCACUUUUACCAAUACCAAAUAUUUUCCCAUCACGAAUCGCUAAAUCUGCUUUGUAAAUUCCCGUGUAAUCUAAAAUAACAACGUUCGUAAUAACUGUAUCUGCCACGCCAUCACCGCGUGUUGCAAGUGGAUGUUGGCCCAUACCGUCCCUAA